GUGUUCACUUCAGCAGCACAUAUACUAGAACUGGAACAAUAAAGAGAAGAUUAGCAUGGCCCUGUGCAAGAAUAACAUGCAAAUUUGUGAAGUGUCCAAUACUUUU